rnacentral:rRNA from 1 species
GUCUUUUAGAUUAUAAUUAUAAGUCGAAUCUGCUCAAUGAUUUAAAUUAAAUAGCUGCGGUAUAUUGACUGUACAAAGGUAGCAUAAUAAUUAGUUUUUUAAUUGAAAGCUAGAAUGAAUGAUUUGAUGAAAUUUAAACUGUCUCAAUUAUAAAUAUAUAAUUUUUUUUAUUAAUUAAAAAAUUAAUAUGAAUUUAAAAGACGAGAAGACCCUAUAGAUUUUUAUUAAAUAAUAAUAUAUUAGAUAAAUUAAUAAAUUAUUUUUAAUUUAAUUGGGGUGAUUUUUAAAUGUUAAAGAACUUUAUAAAUUUAUAAACAAUAAUAAUUGAUUAAUUGAUCUUAAAAUUUAGAUUAUAAGAAUUAAAUACCUUAGGGAUAACAGCGUAAUAUUAUUGGAGAGAUCAUAUUGAUAAUAAUGAUUGC